rnacentral:rRNA from 1 species
ACACGUCUACAUUAGAUACCCGUGUAGUCCCAGCCGUAAACUAUGCGCGUUAGGUGUAUCGGUGACCACGAGUCACCGAGGUGCCGAAGGGAAACCGUGAAACGUGCCGCCUGGGAAGUACGGUCGCAAGGCUGAAACUUAAAGGAAUUGGCGGGGAGCACCACAACGGGUGGAGCCUGCGGUUUAAUUGGACUCAACGCCGGGAAGCUCACCGGAUAAGACAGCGGAAUGAUUGCCGGGCUGAAGACUCUGCAUGACUCGCUG